UACAGGGGGUGCAAACGUUGCUCGGAAUCAUUGGGCGUAAAGCGCACGUAGGCGGUCUGUUAUGUCGGAUGUGAAAGCCCUUGGCUUAACUGAGGAAGUGCAUCCGAAACUGGCAGGCUAGAGUACUAAAGAGGGUCGCGGAAUUCCGGUGUAGAGGUGAAAUUCGUAGAUAUCGGGAGGAACACCGGUGGCGAAGGCGGCGACCUGGGUAGAUACUGACGCUGAGGUGCGAAAGCGUGGGGAGCAAACAGG
rnacentral:rRNA from 1 species